GAGGAAAUGGGGGCAUUUAUAAAAAACUACGUUAGGCUGUGUCUGCAGUCCAUGUCUCGAGUCAUCCCGAGCUGUUGUGUCAUGCCUUCGGAUCUGUGAGUCUUCCCCGAGCUGCAUGCGGAGCGAGCUUUGUUAAAACUCAAUGUCAUUCUCCUUUCAAAGAACUCAGGAGCUGGCAUUUAUAGUAGACUUUGUACAGUGUGCGAUUUACAAGGUGCAGGUCCCAGGUGCGAAGUCAAACUUGUUUUAUUGUCUUAUCACUUCAUAUAAAAAUAGCUUUGCACUAUUUUUAUGUUAAGUUUGAAUGUGAAAUUCCUCCAUAAACAGGUGCCAACCAUACAGCUGCUGAAAAUGCAAAUAUGUGUGUUUGCACCUGAGUGGAAUUUGCACAGUGUGUUAUCUACAGUACAACAAGGAGGGGAAGACAAGGAAGGAAGAGGGAAUGUCAGCGCAGAGAUGGAGAAAAGGCUCUGAUGAAGAUAGUUUGAUGUUGCUGUGCUGUUUUAAUGUGCCUCAUCUCUGCAUAAAUAGCUCCAGCUUCUAAAACUGGCCUUGUGAUUUGAGACAGUUCUACAGACUCUCUCCUGCUUUUUUUUUUUCGUUUUUUUGACACUGAAAAGAGUGAAAUGUACAACGUGCACAGAUGCUGUUAGCCUAACUCAGGAUUACAAUUAAUUUGUUUUCAUUUCAGGUUGCGAUUUUUCAUUAUUCCUCCCGAAUAUUUUCUCACAUCGAAGUCCUCUUUAGUCUAUCUCUAAAGGUAAUUAGGACCGAAUGCCUUCUAUUCAAUUAUGUAAUUGCAAUUUGAAUCUGAUGUGUCAAACGAGCCAAUAAACCACCGUGUCCUUAAGCUACCCUUGUUCGGACUCAUCAGGGCGAUUGUUAUUUGAUCUGUCCCGUGGUGAACUGUGGCAUAUACUCUAUAAAAGACUGCAGCUUUGGGAAAAGAGGGACACUUGUUCACACAUUUUGCAUGGAGCAGUAUAGGAGACGGAAAGGAAAUCAAUUCUUGGCACUAUAUGCUCCAUGUCAUCUACACCCAAAUAUUAAGUCAGCUUUUUG
ensembl:lncRNA